AACACGAGUGCUUGCACUUGGUGGCGAGUGGCGAACGGGUGAGUAAUACAUCGGAACGUGUCCUAAAUGGGGGGAUAACGCAUCGAAAGAUAGUGCUAAUACCGCAUAUACUCUAAGGAGGAAAUAGGGGAUCGAAAGACCUUAUGCUUUUGGAGCGGCCGAUGUCUGAUUAGCUAGUUGGUGAGGUAAAUGCUUACCAAGGCGACGAUCAGUAGUUGGUCUGAGAGGACGACCAGCCACACUGGGACUGAGACACGGCCCAGACUCC
rnacentral:rRNA from 1 species